rnacentral:tRNA from 1 species
GGGGGUAUAGCUCAGCUGGCUAGAGCAACAGGCCUUUAACCUGUAGGUCGUAGGUUCGAACCCUACUGCCCUCACCA